rnacentral:rRNA from 1 species
GGGAAUCUUCCACAAUGGGCGAAAGCCUGAUGGAGCAACGCCGCGUGUGUGAUGAAGGCUUUCGGGUCGUAAAGCACUGUUGUAUGGGAAGAACAGCUAGAAUAGGAAAUGAUUUUAGUUUGACGGUACCAUGCCAGAAAGGGACGGCUAAAUACGUUCCAGCAGCCGCGGUAAUACGUAUGUCCCGAGCGUUAUCCGGAUUUAUUGGGCGUAAAGCGAGCGCAGACGGUUUAUUAAGUCUGAUGUGAAAGCCCGGAGCUCAACUCCGGAAUGGCAUUGGAAACUGGUUAACUUGAGUGCAGUAGAGGUAAGUGGAACUCCAUGUGUAGCGGUGGAAUGCGUAGAUAUAUGGAAGAACACCAGUGGCGAAGGCGGCUUACUGGACUGCAACUGACGUUGAGGCUCGAAAGUGUGGGUAGCAAACAGG